rnacentral:rRNA from 1 species
GACGAACGCUGGCGGCGUGCUUAACACAUGCAAGUCGAACGGAAAGGCCCCCUUGUGGGGUACUCGAGUGGCGAACGGGUGAGUAACACGUGAGUAACCUACCCUUGACUUUGGGAUAACUUUAGGAAACUGGGGCUAAUACCGGAUAGGAGCUCCUGCUGCAUGGUGGGGGUUGGAAAGUUUCGGCGGUUGGGGAUGGACUCGCGGCUUAUCAGCUUGUUGGUGGGGUAGUGGCUCACCAAGGCUUUGACGGGUAGCCGGCCUGAGAGGGUGACCGGCCACAUUGGGACUGAGAUACGGCCCAGACUCCUACGGGAGGCAGCAGUGGGGAAUAUUGCACAAUGGGCGGAAGCCUGAUGCAGCAACGCCGCGUGCGGGAUGACGGCCUUCGGGUUGUAAACCGCUUUCGCCUGUGACGAAGCGUGAGUGACGGUAAUGGGUAAAGAAGCACCGGCUAACUACGUG